rnacentral:tRNA from 1 species
GGAGAGGUGCCAGAGCGGUUUAAUGGAACAGUCUUGAAAACUGUCGUUGGUGAAAGCCAACCGAGGGUUCGAAUCCCUCCCUCUCCG